rnacentral:rRNA from 1 species
CCUACGGGAGGCAGCAGUGAGGAAUAUUGGACAAUGGAGGAGACUCUGAUCCAGCCAUGCCGCGUGCAGGAAGAAUGCCCUAUGGGUAGUAAACUGCUUUUAUACGGGAAGAAAAAGAGCUACGUGGAGCUUACUGACGGUACCGUAAGAAUAAGGACCGGCUAACUCCGUGCCAGCAGCCGCGGUAAU